CCCACCUGCAGUGCACCCACCUCCAGUGCUGCGCCCAUCUCCAGCGGGUCCACCUACAGUGCACCCACCUCCAGUGCGCCGGCCUCCAGUUCGCCCACCUCCAGCACCCACCUACAGUGCGCCCACCUGCCUCCGCCAUGGCGUCCCGCUUCCAGAACUACCAGAUGGACUGGACGGCGGGGCUGAUGUACGCGCCGCCCGCCGCCACCGCCAACGCGGCCAACAACGCCAACAACAACGGCAAAGUGGUCCACUUCGGGGGCGACGAUGUGAGCCUGUACGGGACCCCGAAGGAGGAGCCGGGUCCCGGGCCCAUGGGAGCCCCCCAAGGCGAGGGCCCCUCCAAGCCCUCCUUCCUCAAGAACCAGCUGCAGGCCCUCUUCCAGCCCACCGACAACAAGCUGGCCAUGAAGCUGUUCGGCUCCAAGAAGGCCCUCAUGAAGGAGCGCAUCCGACAGAAGGCCGCCGGCCACUGGGUCAUCCAUCCUUGCUCCAGCUUUCGCUUCUAUUGGGACCUAUGUAUGCUUUUGCUGCUAGUGGCCAACCUUAUUAUACUGCCCGUCGCCAUAUCUUUCUUCAACGACGACCUCAGUACGAGAUGGAUAGCUUUCAACUGUCUCUCCGACACCAUAUUUCUUAUAGACAUCGUUGUCAACUUUCGUACUGGCAUAAUGCAACAAGACAACGCCGAACAAGUAAUAUUAGACCCAAAAAUAAUAGCAAAAAACUACCUCAAGACUUGGUUUUUUCUGGAUCUCAUCAGUUCAAUACCACUAGAUUACAUCUUCCUGAUAUUCAACCAGUUCGCAAAGUGGAAGGGACAGUCGUCAAAUUCGGAUUUCAGCGAAAGCUUUCAAAUCCUCCACGCGGGCCGCGCGCUGCGCAUCCUUCGCCUGGCCAAGCUGCUGUCUCUCGUUCGACUGCUGCGGCUGUCCAGGCUCGUGCGCUACGUCAGCCAAUGGGAGGAAGUCUACCUGCCUCCGCCACCCUCGCCCAGCGGACACCUGGGCUAUGAGUCCUCCACGCGCAAGCGCUGCAAUUCUUCCUCCUCCCCGCCCGGCCCCGAGCAAGGCCCCGAGGGCUCAGAGCACUCAGAGGGCGGGGGUGACGCCCCCCAGCUUCAGAAGAUCUUGCAGAAUCUGCAAAAAAAGCGCACAGAAAGACGGGGAAGGCGCGCUUCUGAUGCUGCCACCAAGAAAAAGUCUAGGUUCACAAAAAGCAACCUGAUUUUUAAGUUCCUAAACAUGGCGAGCGUCUUCAUGCGCAUCUUCAACCUCAUCUGCAUGAUGCUCCUCAUCGGCCACUGGUCGGGCUGCCUCCAGUUCCUCGUGCCCAUGCUGCAGGGCUUCCCCGCCAACUCGUGGGUGGCGAUCAACGAGCUGCAGGACGCGUUCUGGCUGGAGCAGUACUCGUGGGCGCUGUUCAAGGCCAUGUCGCACAUGCUGUGCAUCGGGUACGGCCGCUUCCCGCCGCAGUCCCUCACCGACAUGUGGCUCACCAUGCUGUCCAUGAUCUCCGGGGCGACGUGCUACGCCCUGUUCCUCGGCCACGCCACCAACCUCAUCCAGUCCCUCGACUCCAGCCGACGGCAGUACCGCGAGCGGGUAAAACAAGUGGAGGAGUACAUGGCCUACCGCAAGCUGCCUCGAGAGAUGCGGCAGCGGAUCACGGAGUACUUCGAGCACCGGUACCAGGGCAAGUUCUUCGACGAAGAGGCCAUCCUGGGCGAGCUUUCGGAAAAGCUGCGAGAGGACGUGAUCAACUACAACUGCCGGUCGUUGGUGGCGUCCGUGCCGUUCUUCGCCAACGCGGACGGCAACUUCGUCUCGGACGUCGUCACCAAACUGCGAUACGAGGUCUUCCAGCCAGGCGACAUCAUCAUCAAGGAGGGCACGAUCGGCAACAAGAUGUACUUCAUCCAGGAGGGCAUCGUGGACAUCGUGAUGCUGAACGGCGAGGUGGCGACGUCGCUGUCGGACGGCUCGUACUUCGGGGAGAUCUGCCUGCUGACGAACGCGCGGCGCGUGGCCUCGGUGCGCGCCGAGACGUACUGCAACCUCUUCUCGCUGUCCGUGGAGCACUUCAACGCCGUGCUGGACCAGUACCCGCUCAUGAGGCGGACCAUGGAGAGUGUGGCUGCCGAAAGGUGCGGCACGCGUUGCCAAGAGGGCGUCCAUGCGGUGUCCAUGACGGUGUCCAUGACGGUGUCCAUGGCGUCGCCCAGGGUGCCGAACGGGGAGGCGCCCCGGGCGGCGGCACGGCCAUCAACACGACACACUUGUAGUGCUGCAUGUCCGCCACGCAUUCCAGACACAAACACAAGACUGUCUCGUUAAGUUGUAUGUUGUCUCCGAACGAAAACGAAACUUGAAGUCCUGCUCGGCAAAAUACGGUCGAUUGGACGUCGCGAUGACGUCAAAACUGACCUGAUUUUGCCUUUGUGCUGGGCCGCUGCUUGGGACUCAGAAAAAUGCCUGCAUGCGCAUGGAUUCCUUAGGCGUUUCUGUGAAGGCCUUGAGCGCGCCGAUUCAUGUUCUGAGUCCGUUUCCACGUGAGACUUUAACAAAAAUUUGUCUCUCGCUGGGCGGAAAGUGAUUUCUGCUUCAUUUCAAGGAAUUCAUUCAAAUUCCUUCUGAUAGCAAAUCUGUGAUAAUACAAUAUUUGAGGCCGGAGCGGUCGUAAUUGCGUUGCUCUCCUAUAAUAUGUCGCUUCAGACUCCUUACCGUCCAUUCUGCUGUCGCUCUUUAAAUUUAAAUUAAAUGAAAAUAUAGUUUUUUAACGAACACAGCGGCAUGCAACUAAACUGUGAUCGAAGCCAUGACAGCCUGCGGGUUGUAAUGUAGAUAGAGAAACUUUGUUCCGUCCCAUGGCCAAGUGACUCCGAGAGAGACAGAGCGACGAUGCGACUUUCGGAAUCAGCCUACUGCAUGUACACUGGCGCGUGCCGCUCUGGGUAGGCAACCCAUCGGCCUCGCGGACGCUAGCGCGCUCCGCGGCAGUAGGCCGAACCCGCGCUGACUCGCCGCACAGUAGGCCAGAAAACCGGUAGAGGUGGACAAAACUCUAGACGCGAUUUGGGCUCAAGAGCCACUAAACAGGCUUCGAACCGAACGUGUGACCCCACCAAUGGAUUCCUCGUUCGGAGAGCAAUCCAUUGAUGGGGUCACACGUUCGGUUCGAGUCCCAUUUAGCGACUCUGGAGCUCAAAACGCGUCUACAGUUUUGUCCGCCUCCGCAGGUCGUCUGGCCCACUGUGCGCCGCUCGAACCUCGAACGAGAAACCGCGGGACAGCGCCCCAGGCGGGCAUGCAGCAGUGAUAGCUUGGUCAAACCUUCGCCUUAGUUGUUAUGUACCCUCUGCUUUCACCUUGCCAAUAAAAUUGGAUGCGUCCGAAA